rnacentral:rRNA from 1 species
CCUACGGGGGGCAGCAGUGGGGAAUAUUGGACAAUGGGGGCAACCCUGAUCCAGCCAUGCCGCGUGUGUGAAGAAGGCCCUCGGGUUGUAAAGCACUUUCAGUGAGGAAGAACGCCUGGUGGUUAAUACCCAUCAGGAAGGACAUCACUCACAGAAGAAGCGCCGGCUAACUCCGUGCCAGCAGCCGCGGUAAUACGGAGGGUGCGAGCGUUAAUCGGAAUUACUGGGCGUAAAGCGCGCGUAGGUGGCUUGAUAAGCCGGUUGUGAAAGCCCCGGGCUCAACCUGGGAACGGCAUCCGGAACUGUCAAGCUAGAGUGCAGGAGAGGAAGGUAGAAUUCCCGGUGUAGCGGUGAAAUGCGUAGAGAUCGGGAGGAAUACCAGUGGCGAAGGCGGCCUUCUGGACUGACACUGACACUGAGGUGCGAAAGCGUGGGUAGCAAACAGGAUUAGAUACCCCUGUAGUC